CCUGUGCCGGCUCCGGCCGGGAUCUGGUCCCAGUCCCGAACCGGCUCCGACCUGGAUCUGGUCCCAGUCCCGAACCGGCUCCGACCUGGAUCUGGUCCCAGUCCCGAACCAGCUCCCGCCUGGAUCUGGCCCCAGUCCCGAACCGGCUCUGACCUGGAACCAACCCGGAUUGAGCCCUGCUACCCCAAUGACCUGUCCUUUGGGCUGAGCCUGCAUCCAUUGCUCUACCUCCUCGUGAAGACGGGUUAUUGAGUGGUAACCCCAACACCCAGAUCCCAACCACUGCUGCAGACCCGGUCUAGAGAUUCAAUCAACUGGUGCCAACAGGCUCUGCAACCUUCAAGGAAGUAGCUGUGGAUUGCCCUGCCUGGCCACCAGCAUGCAAGGAAAUCUGCUGGGUAAGAGGCUCCGGGAUACUAGAAACUGGGGAUCCAGCCAUGCUGCAUGUGCUUCUGCUUAGGGUCCAUCUGGUUUCCCACCAGAAAAUCCACCGGGCGGAGAGACCUUUCAAACGCCUGGACGGUGGGGAGAGCUUCGGCCAGAGCGCCUGCCUCAACCAGCCCUGGAGAGCGCACAGGAGCAGCGCAUGGCUGGAGGCCUUAUGCCAGUUAAUGUCUGUCUUCAUCUCCCCCUAUUUCACCCUCUCCGCUCCUCUAGCAAUAAGAUAAACCUCUCCGCCAGCGGGGACGGCCCUCGGCACCUGCUUGUUUCUGGCUCUCCGAGGAUCACGCAGGUCGCUUGGCCCCGCUCCAGGUCUCAAACACGUUUUUUAGAAUGGGAACAGCCUCAUUUGAUGCAGCCUCAGAGACAGAAUUAGCUACUCAUUGUCCACCUAACACCAUUUUCGGCAGCUACAUCUCAAGAGAUGGUCUUCCAGCUGGUCAUUACAGGCUGCGUUUCAUGUUCUUACACAAGAUGACCUGAAACCUGUAUUCCUCAAAGGCCAUAUCCAUCUAGGAACGGUGCCAAACGGCCACGGCUCCUUCCUGCAUUACAAAACGUUGGUAUCAUAUUUCCAUGUGCUUUUAAGAACUGCAGAUCUUUAUCCUCUUCCAGUUUACCCUUUUUUCUCCUCUCAGGGCCAGCGUGUGGGUGAGAAUUAGCAC
rnacentral:lncRNA from 1 species